GGGGGGGGGGCUAUAAUGCAGUCGAGCGAACUGAUUAGAAGCUUGCUUCUAUGACGUUAGCGGCGGACGGGUGAGUAACACGUGGGCAACCUGCCUGUAAGACUGGGAUAACUUCGGGAAACCGAAGCUAAUACCGGAUAGGAUCUUCUCCUUCAUGGGAGAUGAUUGAAAGAUGGUUUCGGCUAUCACUUACAGAUGGGCCCGCGGUGCAUUAGCUAGUUGGUGAGGUAACGGCUCACCAAGGCAACGAUGCAUAGCCGACCUGAGAGGGUGAUCGGCCACACUGGGACUGAGACACGGCCCAGACUCCUACGGGAGGCAGCAGUAGGGAAUCUUCCGCAAUGGACGAAAGUCUGACGGAGCAACGCCGCGUGAGUGAUGAAGGCUUUCGGGUCGUAAAACUCUGUUGUUAGGGAAGAACAAGUACAAGAGUAACUGCUUGUACCUUGACGGUACCUAACCAGAAAGCCACGGCUAACUACGUGCCAGCAGCCGCGGUAAUACGUAGGUGGCAAGCGUUAUCCGGAAUUAUUGGGCGUAAAGCGCGCGCAGGCGGUUUCUUAAGUCUGAUGUGAAAGCCCACGGCUCAACCGUGGAGGGUCAUUGGAAACUGGGGAACUUGAGUGCAGAAGAGAAAAGCGGAAUUCCACGUGUAGCGGUGAAAUGCGUAGAGAUGUGGAGGAACACCAGUGGCGAAGGCGGCUUUUUGGUCUGUAACUGACGCUGAGGCGCGAAAGCGUGGGGAGCAAACAGGAUUAGAUA
rnacentral:rRNA from 2 species